rnacentral:lncRNA from 1 species
AUGAUAAAGAGUUUUAUUUCCCUACAUGCAGACAUUUGAUUAUGGUUCCUGUAGCGGAGUUACUGCAUGCUCCCCUAUAAUGUAGUGAUGUCAUUGGGUCUGGGGAUGUGCCCGUCUCCGGGCUGCCGUGAUGGAUAACACCUGUCAAUCAGCCCACAGACGCAUCUCCACCCACAGCACCUCUGGCAAGGCUCUUGAAGUCACGGAACGUAUUAGUAGGGGCAUGUUCAGAUCCUCCGGAGGAAGGGACUUAGUAUGCGCACGGUGUGACCAAGAGAUAUACAAGCCCAGGGUUUAGAGCCAUACUAUACAUCUAAGUCUGGCUCUGCAUUGCUGUGUAGCCACUUAGUGAACAACAGACAAUAAAUGGUAGAUAGAAACCUAAAUUUAACUCUGCUGGAUAUGUUUUCGUAUAAGCCCCAAGGUGAGAGUAUUUAUCUAGCGUUCACAUUUUUUAAAUGCUUGGCCUGUAUUCUUGAAGCUGUAGGCCUGGUUUUUCCGAUGCAUGGUUGUGAAUUGUAUUUCCAGAGCGAUCUUUUUUUCCAGCAGCCCAGUCUGUGAAGCAUAUUUAAUGUCCCUGUCACCUCUGCAACAUCUCAGUUGGUGGAGUCUCACCAGCGUUUUGCUGCCUGCCUCACAAACUCCCCUCCACCAACACCCACACUGUGCCUGAGUUCUCCACCACCCGUGUCCAACCAUGGUCGCUGAACACAUUUCCUAGAGGGCUUUGGCUGAACUGCAGCAGCCUAGGCCCAAGCAUCCCUGUGUCCUGUCUGUUCUCCUUCAAACUCCCUCUUUAUUCCCCUGUUGCACCAUGUUAGUGUGCCUGGGACCUCUGGGGUUGGAGGGAUCCUGGGAAACAGCAGUGUGGGUUGUUUAUCUGCUUCUGGCUCCAGGAAGGCAGCUGGCCCAGGGGUCGAGCCCCAGUGGACUGUGAGAGGAUCAGGCUUAGCUAGCUAGGGUUGGGUGGGGAGGGAUUACUGCCUCAUCUGCAAUUCUGGAUGUUGAUGUUGUUGUGCUGUGAGGCCUCUGGGCCUCCUUCCUCACUCAUUAGAAUCUAUGUAGUGCUUUUCAAGGACCCAAAGCCGCUUUACAAUUGUCAAAACAAAAAAACAAAACAGUAGUCAAAACAAGACAACAUCAAACUAAACAAAAACAUGAACAAAGUGAGGGGUGGGCUCAAGGAAGGGAAAGAGUAUGAUGUAUCAGGUAGACCUUGUCAAAUAGGUGGGGCUUUAGGAAGGACUGAAAGAUGGUGAUGGACUCAGAGUCAUGGAUGGCUGGAGGGAGGGAGAGCGGUUCAGAACCUUGGAGCAACCCUGGAGAAGGCCCUGUCGCCGAAGCUCUGGAGUUCGUACCUGGGGAUGACAAGAUGGUCUGCUG